rnacentral:rRNA from 1 species
AACGAACGCUGGCGGCAGGCCUAACACAUGCAAGUCGAACGCCCUAGCAAUAGGGAGUGGCGCACGGGUGCGUAACGCGUGGGAAUAUGCCCUUCACUGCGGAAUAACGUUUGGAAACGAACGCUAAUACCGCAUAAUGACUCCGGUCCAAAGAUUUAUCGGUGAAGGAUUAGCCCGCGUUAGAUUAGCUAGUUGGUGAGGUAAUGGCUCACCAAGGCGACGAUCUAUAGCUGGUCUGAGAGGAUGAUCAGCCACACUGGGACUGAGACACGGCCCAGACUCCUACGGGAGGCAGCAGUGAGGAAUAUUGGACAAUGGGCGCAAGCCUGAUCCAGCCAUGCCGCGUGAGUGAAGAAGGCCUUCGGGUGUAAAGCUCUUUCAGAUGUGAAGAUAAUGACGGUAGCAUCAGAAGAAGCCCCGGCUAAAUUCGUGCCAGCAGCCGCGGUAAU